GAUGAACGCUGGCGGCGUGCCUAACACAUGCCAGUCGAGCGAACAGACGAGGAGCUUGCUCCUCUGACGUUAGCGGCGGACGGGUGAGUAACACGUGGAUAACCUACCUAUAAGACUGGGAUAACUUCGGGAAACCGGAGCUAAUACCGGAUAAUAUAUUGAACCGCAUGGUUCAAUAGUGAAAGACGGUUUUGCUGUCACUUAUAGAUGGAUCCGCGCCGCAUUAGCUAGUUGGUAAGGUAACGGCUUACCAAGGCAACGAUGCGUAGCCGACCUGAGAGGGUGAUCGGCCACACUGGAACUGAGACACGGUCCAGACUCCUACGGGAGGCAGCAGUAGGGAAUCUUCCGCAAUGGGCGAAAGCUUGACGGAGCAACGCCGCGUGAGUGAUGAAGGUCUUCGGAUCGUAAAACUCUGUUAUUAGGGAAGAACAAAUGUGUAAGUAACUAUGCACGUCUUGACGGUACCUAAUCAGAAAGCCACGGCUAACUACGUG
rnacentral:rRNA from 1 species